UCCUUGGUGACUUAGUGGUAUAGUUUUGGCUUUUCGGGCCGGAGAGUUCCAGGUUCGAAACCGGAUUCCAUGGAA